AUUGAACGCUGGCGGCAUGCCUUACACAUGCAAGUCGAACGGCGGCACGGGAGCAAUCCUGGUGGCGAGUGGCGAACGGGUGAGUAAUAUAUCGGAACGUGCCCAGUCGUGGGGAUAACGUAGCGAAAGCUACGCUAAUACCGCAUACGAUCUAUGGAUGAAAGCGGGGGAUCGCAAGACCUCGCGCGAUUGGAGCGGCCGAUAUCAGAUUAGGUAGUUGGUGAGGUAAAGGCUCACCAAGCCGACGAUCUGUAGCUGGUCUGAGAGGACGACCAGCCACACUGGGACUGAGACACGGCCCAGACUCCUACGGGAGGCAGCAGUGGGGAAUUUUGGACAAUGGGUGGCAAGCCUGAUCCAGCAAUGCCGCGUGCAGGAUGAAGGCCUCGGUUGGUU
rnacentral:rRNA from 1 species